ensembl:lncRNA
AGUGGCAAGAAAGAGCAAUAAAAGCACUCAGCCUUUGUUAGAGACCCAGAAAGAGAGAGAUGUGAGGGCUGGAACUGAAUGAUGGAGGGUUGCUACUGUUCAGUGAGCUUGUUAGUGAAGGGAUUCUGGAACAGUCACGCAUGAAGGAGCUACAUGUACCUCCGGCCGGCUCUCUAUAAAGCAGAAUCCUUCAGACGUAGACGGUUCUUUGAGCGGUAAUCCAGUUCACAUUGUUUGUCUUCUCUGAAAGAGCGGGAUGAAAGAGAGACAAACUCUUGCAACAGUUUGUAUGCAGAGUGCUGGUGUCUUUAGGAAGCUCAGGAUAGUGAGGAUGUUUCAGACGUCAGAGCUACAGCAAACACCUGCCAUCUAUUGGACCAUGUGUUCUUCAUCAGCAGCUUUGACGCUUAUCUUUUUAAGUUCAGCCUUGAGCCUGUGUGUUUCCAGCAAACACGACUGCAGUGCAUUCUUCCAUCCUCCUUCUGCUGCUCCUCUGCGUUGUCGCAAAACAUCUAGAGAGAUUAUGUAAAGUCUCUCUCAGGUCACCAGGGUACAGGUUGCUACUCACAUGAAAGCUGUUGGGUUGAAUAUGUCUGUGGAUGGGAAUUAACAAAAAAAAAUAGUUACCAUGCCAUGAAAGCAUUUUUUUUUUCACAGACCCAAGGCCACAUGCGUCAUUGGGGUGAUUGUUAAGAUAAGCUGUUUGGAUCUCUGCAGAUCACAUUGAGACACGAAAGAAUGUUCUGUUAUGAAAGAAAGUAUGAGGUCUUUGGGACAAAACAUUCUUAAUCAGCCCUUAGAUUUGUUUUUGAAAUAUUACAAAGGUUAACGUUUCACCUCUCACUAUCAAAUCAAAAUGAUUUUACAUAUUUGCAAAAAAAAAAAAAAAAAAUUUCUUCCAAAUGUGGGUAAAACUUUUUACCCACAUAGAAAAAAGCUUAACUGCAAAUGAAGAGACUUUUAAUUCAUUCUUAGAGUAAUAGUUCACCCAGGCCAUCCAAGUUAGUUUCUUCAUUGGACAAGAUUUAGCAUUAUAUCACUUGCUCACCAGUGGAUCCUCUGCAGUGAAUGAGAGAGUUCAAACAGCUGAUAAAAACAUCAAAAUAAUACACAAGUAAUCCACAAGACUUCUGUCCAUCAAUUAAUGUCUUGUAUAGAGGAAAACGAAGUGUGUUUAAAGUAAAACAAAUCCGUUAUUAAGAUGUUUUAACUUUAAACCAUUGCUUCUGGCCAAAACGUGACUCCGUAAUCCAUAAAAACACUUUCUUCAGUUGAAAAAUCCACUCCCUGUUGUCCUCUCACAUCAAAACCCACCAAUGUAUUUGUUUAGAACUAUUAUGGAACGUUUGCGCUUGCAAAACAUGCUUGAUCUGUUUACAUUUCUCUUCUGAUUCAGAUGAGCUGAGAUAACUUUUUCACUGGAGAAAGCAAUUUUUUAUUACAAACACAGCUUUUUGCUUCAGAAUAUUUUAAUAGAUGGACUGUUGUGUGGAUUACUUGUGGAUUAUUGUGAUGUUUAUAUCAGCUGUUUGGACUCAUUCUGACGGCACCCAUUCACUGCAAAGGAUCUACUGGUGAGCAAGUGAUGUAAUGCUAAAUUUCUCCAAAUCUGUUCUGAUGAAGAAACAAACUCAUCUACAUCUUGGAUGGCCUGAGGGUGACUUAAUUCUCAGCAAAUGUUAUUUUUUUGGUGAACUGUUCCUUUAAUGGAAUAUGGUGAUAUAAACUACAGUAUGACUGUGCUGUUAUAAAAUCUUUUUAAAACUUUAUUUAAAAAUUCAGUCUAUCUACUGACAGCUGUGACACAACCAGCACUUCACAUGCCUCAUAUUGCUUGUGCAGCUCAAUAAACAUGCCUGGGUAUGAAAUAUGCAUCAACUCAUUAAUCUAUAAUAUAUAAAUCUAUAAUAUAUAACAGUACAUAUUCACGUGCUCUGCAGUACAUAUCUACUUUUCAGUGUAGUGCAUGUACUGUGAGGUUGCUGACG